GAUGAACGCUGGCGGCGUGCCUAAUACAUGCAAGUCGAGCGAACAGACGAGGCGCUUGCUCCUCUGACGUUAGCGGCGGACGUGAGAGUAACACGUGUAUAACCCACCUAUAAGACUGGGAUAACUUCGGGAAACCGGCGCUAAUACCGGAUAAUAUAUUGAACCGUAUGGUUCAAUAGUGAAAGACGGCUUUGCUGUCACUAAUAGAUGGAUCCGGGCUGCUUGGGGUAGUUGGUAGGGUAACGGCUUUCCAAGGCGAGGAUGCGUAGGCGACGUGUGAGGGUGGUCGGCCACACGGGAACUGGAACGCGGUCAAUACGCCUACGGGAGGCAGCAGUAGGGAAUCGUCCGCAGUGGGCGAAAGCCUGACGGAGCGGCGCCGAGUGUGUGAUGAAGGUGUUCGGAUCGUAAAAAUGGGUUACGGGGGAAAAACAAAUGUGUAAGUAGCUAUGCACGGCUUGACGGUACCUAAUCAGAAAGCCACGGCUAACUACGUG
rnacentral:rRNA from 1 species